GCUAGUGCCUGCUCAUCUUGGUGAAAUGCCUCCUACAUUUCUACCUUUGUAGAAAGGAGAAGCUAUCUGAAAUUCUCUGCAAACUGACAUAAACCCAAAGCAUCUUCCUGGAGAGGGAAGAGGUUUGUGAUAGCGGGAGAGAUAUGGAGCUGACUCAUGCUGCAAAUCUGAGACUUCCCUGCAGCAACUAAUGAUAAGCUGGGGUACACAGUGUGCACUGCGGCUGCUCAGGAGACUUCAGCUUCACCUCCCCAUAGCCAUGGAGCCUGGCACAGGCUCUUCUUGGCUCAAGGGCACUGUUCCAGCCAGUAGGGCUUUGGCAGGCCAUCGUGGCAGUGUCACUGUCUUGCUGUUGCUCACUAUCCCAAGAACUGACCCUUAGUGUUAUAUACUAAAUGUUAAAGAAAACAAUCACAGCAAUAAUAGUUACCAAUGGCCAAGAGAGGAUGGGAAAUCUGGGGCUUGUUCAUCCAGUGCUGAUGGGCUGGUAUUCUGGGACCCUGAAGACCACCACCUGAAUCACUGAUUGUAUGGUGAGUGUUGGGGCAGGAGAGAAUAAUUUUUCUUGCACUUCUGAGUUUUGUUUCACAGCUCCAGGAAAAGCCAAAUGCAGAUGCAGUGCUAGCUGCACAGCCUUGUUAGAAUACAGCUUUUCAUUUGGGCUUUUCUUUUUAUCUUGCACAAGAUGCAGUCCUGGCUUGUCAAACCUGGGAAAUGGGUGAUUCAUCUAUUGUAUUGUCCUGUUCUCAGUAAAUUGCAGUGUGAUUCCCAAUUUACCUGCCAUAUGACCAGUUCUUCUUAAAAAUCCAAAUGCAUAAGCCAUCUGUGUCCAAGAACAUGGGAAGGGAGCACAUUACUUACGAAGUAUGUAAUCAAGCAGUGUGAUCUAACCAUUAACUGCGUGACAUCCUUCUCUUUAUUUGGACAGUUUACUGGCUCUAGGGUUUCAAGUGGGCGCUGUCACUUACACUUUCUGAUAAUACAACUUAAUUAAAAUUUCAUUCCUGUACCAGCAAGUGCCAGGUCACCAGAUGGUUACUAAUUGUUAUGUCCACAUAUUCUGUUCUGGAUUGCAGCAGACUAUGUUUGUGCUAAUGUUACUGGGACAAUUGCUACAUGUACUUUGCAAAUGUUUACUAUACAAAUCUUAGUCUUUAAAUAAUGUAAAAAGAAUUGCUUCAGUAUUUAUUAACCCAUGUAAAGCAAUAAACUUCCACAAGACCCUAACA
rnacentral:lncRNA from 1 species